AGAGUCCUGAUGUGUUCGUAGUAUUACCUAUCGUUUGACCGAACAUUUUACCUUUGGGAGUUCGGAGUUUCUAAUUUGCGUACAGGCCUUACCUAAGAGUUUACAUUCGUAAAGCACUUACUAGGGAUUUAUAAAAAUUGGAAUAGAACACCCACCUGCUUCGUGCGGGUUCAAACAAAGGAAAACAAGCGACGGCAUAAUUGGGACUCUU
rnacentral:other from 1 species